UACGGAGGGUGCGAGCGUUGUCCGGAAUCACUGGGCGUAAAGCGGGUGUAGGCGGACUUAUAAGUCAGGUGUGAAAUCCCAGGGCUCAACCCUAGAAGUGCACUUGAUACUGCAAGUCUUGAGUGUGGUAGAGGCUAUUAGAAUUCUUGGUGUAGUGGUGAAAUGCGUAGAUAUCAAGAGGAAUACCGGAGGCGAAGGCGGAUAGCUGGGCCAACACUGACGCUGAGACCCGAAAGCGUGGGGAUCAAACAGG
rnacentral:rRNA from 1 species